rnacentral:rRNA from 1 species
CCUACGGGUGGCUGCAGUGAGGAAUAUUGGUCAAUGGGCGGAAGCCUGAACCAGCCAAGUCGCGUGCGGGAUGAAGGCCCUACGGGUCGUAAACCGCUUUUGCACGGGGACAACACCCUCCACGCGUCGAGGUCUGCAGGUACCGUGCGAAUAAGCGCCGGCUAACUCCGUGCCAGCAGCCGCGGUAAUACGGAGGGCGCGAGCGUUAUCCGGAUUUAUUGGGCUUAAAGGGAGCGUAGGCGGGCGCUCAAGUCAGCUGUAAAAUCGCGCGGCUCAACCGCGCCCCGCAGUUGAAACUGGACGUCUUGAGUGCACGACAGGCAGGCGGAAUUCGUGGUGUAGCGGUGAAAUGCAUAGAUAUCACGAGGAACCCCGAUUGCGAAGGCAGCCUGCCGGGGUGCAACUGACGCUGAGGCUCGAAGGUGCGGGUAUCAAACAGGAUUAGAUACCCUAGUAGUC